AUGCCUAUGAUUUUUAGAUUCAGAAUUUAGUCAUAGUUCAGGCUGAACAGGGAUAGUUUAUUUUAUAUUUUCGAGAGUUUGCUUUUUCUCAAAAACAUACAGGAAGCAUUACUCGUAUAGGAUAUACACAAUAUAAACGAUGAAACGUACAGUCUGCAAACAACGUUUGGGCCCCGAGGAGCCUCGCCGCCAAACCAAGCGCAAGGGAGAAUCAGCUAAGAAAACAAAUUCGUGGAUCUUUAAGAAACCCAAUGCCGGACAAACCACAUGGCUUACCACAACUGGCGAAUUGAUUGGGGUGCAGAACAAACAUAUUGCUGAAUUGGGCAUUAAUAUAUACAAUUACGAGGAGCCAUACAUUGUCGAAGUGCAGAA